AACGAACGCUGGCGGCAUGCCUAACACAUGCAAGUCGAACGAAGGCUUCGGCCUUAGUGGCGCACGGGUGCGUAACGCGUGGGAAUCUGCCCUUGGGUCUGGGAUAACAGUGAGAAAUUACUGCUAAUACCGGAUGAUAUCGCGAGAUCAAAGAUUUAUCGCCCGAGGAUGAGCCCGCGUUGGAUUAGCUAGUUGGUGGGGUAAAGGCCUACCAAGGCGACGAUCCAUAGCUGGUCUGAGAGGAUGAUCAGCCACACUGGGACUGAGACACGGCCCAGACUCCUACGGGAGGCAGCAGUGGGGAAUAUUGGACAAUGGGCGAAAGCUUGAUCCAGCAAUGCCGCGUGAGUGAUGAAGGCCUUAGGGUUGUAAAGCUCUUUCACCGAUGAAGAUAAUGACGGUAGUCGGAGAAGAAGCCCCGGCUAACUUCGUGCCAGCCGCCGCGGUAAUAC
rnacentral:rRNA from 1 species